CCUUCUUUAUUUACUGGUUUCGCCUAUAAAGAAUAUCAGGUAGAUAGAGAAAUCAAAAUUGAAGGAUCUACAUAAAAGUAAAUUUACAUUUUUUUAUUUCCUUCUUUAUUUACUGGUUUCACUUAUGAAUUGGCCAAAUUGUGAAAAUGGCCAGUGACUGUGGACAGCAAAAAAAGUCAGAGGGGAAACCACACUUUCUAGCCAAAGAAAUAGGAAAAAGGGCCUAUGUGUAGAGGAGAGUGUGGGAGAGAACUCUUUUUACUCUCUUUCUCCCUAACCAAUGCAAGGACCAGACCCAGGGGCAAAAUCUCACAGCUGCAGUAUCGUUUAAGACUCAGAGAGAGCCUAUCUUUCUGGGCAAAGGGGCUGAAAAGAAGGACCCUGUUCCUGCUUUGUGGACCAAGCAGAGGGCCUAUCAGACUGGAGAGUGUGAAGGAAUAUCUGCAGUAGAGAGAUAAACACAAGGAAAACAAUGUCAAUAGCAUCAUAAUCCAACUGCUAAAACAAAUAACUAAUAACUCAGAAUUUUAUGAAUAGUGAUCAUAUUUAUGAGGAAUAAA
rnacentral:lncRNA from 1 species